UACGUAGGGACAGACGUUGUCCGGAAUCAUUGGGCGUAAAGAGCGUGUAGGCGGCUUGUUAAGUCUUGCGUGAAAUCUCGGGGCUCAACCCCGAGCGGUCGUGAGAAACUGGCAGGCUAGAGUGCGGGAGAGGAGAGUGGAAUUCCUGGUGUAGCGGUGAAAUGCGCAGAUAUCAGGAAGAACACCCGUGGCGAAGGCGGCUCUCUGGAACGCAACUGACGCUGAGACGCGAAAGCGUGGGGAGCAAACAGG
rnacentral:rRNA from 1 species